rnacentral:rRNA from 1 species
GACGAACGCUGGCGGCGUGCUUAACACAUGCAAGUCGAACGAAGUGGCGAACGGGUGAGUAACGCGUAUCAACCUGGCCUUCAGAGGGGGACAACAGUUGGAAACGACUGCUAAUACCGCAUACGGAAGGAGGGGAUUGCUUCUGAUUUGCUAGUUGGAGGGGUAACGGCCCACCAAGGCGAUGAUCAGUAGCCGGUCCUAGAGGAUUAACGGGCACAUUGGGACCGGGACCAGGCCCCGACUCCCACGGGAGGCAGCAGUUGGGAAUCUUCCGCAAUGGAGGAAAGUCCGACGGAGCAACGCCGGCUGAGUGAUGACGGCCUUCGGGUUGUAAAGCUCUGUUAAUCGGGACGCGUUACCGGAAUAGAAAGCCACGGCUAACUACGUGCCAGCAGCCGCGGUAAUUC